AAAAAAAUAACAUUUGUACCGUAGACAGUAGGUGCCUGUAAGGCUUAAUUUCCUACCGAGGUGUGUGUGAUAAAUUAGUGAACGUUCUGAUUCGCUUAUAACACCUCCAUGUCUUAGUUGUCAUGGAGGUGUUUUAUUUGCACC
rfam:Bacillus sp. SGD-V-76 genomic scaffold Scaffold26, whole genome shotgun sequence.